rnacentral:rRNA from 1 species
GACAGAGGGUGCAAACGUUGCUCGGAAUUACUGGGCGUAAAGCGCGUGUAGGUGGAUUGGUGUGUCAGAUGUGAAAGCCCUGGGCUCAACCCAGGAACUGCACCUGAAACUACCAGUCUUGAGUGGUGGAGAGGGAAGUGGAAUUCCGGGUGUAGUGGUGGAAUGCGUAGAGCUCCGGAGGAACACCAGUGGCGAAGGCGGCCGGCCUGG